AUAAAUAUUCCCUGGAUGUCUCAUCAGGGACUCUGCUGACAGCCCCAGAGAUGCCACCUCCUUUCAGUAGAUUUCAUCUGAGCCUUAUCGACAGCUCACCGUCUUCAGGUUCCUUCUAAAAACAUGAAAGUCCCUGGGACGGUCCCAAAGACAGGGCCUGCACAUUUUUAUAAUGGCAAAGCAUUUUUUAAAAGGGUCGGGUUGAAAUAUCUAGGAAUAAUCCUGUAAAGAAGAGGGACCAUUAAUGUGAGCGGAGAUAGACUAGGUCAUUACCACACCUGAAGCAGCAAUAGGUGUAUACAGUGUAAAUUUGAAAUCCACCCUUUAGUUUCAAAAAAAGGAGCCUGCGAAGCCCAUUUAUCUGUUUCCAGCCCCGUCAGUCACCCAUCCAGUAUGUUGGCAGAGUAUUGUCUGAGCAGUGUGUGUAAGGAGUAUUAAUGAAAGCAAAAGUAUGUCAGAAAGUUACUUCCAAAUGGUUAGAGGCAUGUGACUUUUAGUACUGUGUGUUAACGGAAUGUCAGGAAUGGUAUAUUUUAACUGUGUGCAAGAUAAUGUCAGUGUGCACAGAGGGUCUUUUUUCCUUUUUUGAUUAGUGCUGUUAGUGUUCAAAGAAUAAAAAUGGUUGUUUUACAGUUUAGAUUCCAAGAUAGCAAAAUCUGAUUUUUCAACCAUGACCUGCAUGAGAGAAGCAUCCUAGGAAGUCUUAGCUCAUACUUCUGAGUUCUUAACUUUAAUUUAUAUAGUGUUUUUUUUAUGUUUUAAUAUUUUUGUGAACUGGUGUAAAUUGUUAAUGCAUAUAAGCUUGUGUAUUUUUGUAAAUAGUUUGUGAUUUAUUUCUUGACCCAUAUGUAAAUAUUUAGAGUCUCAUUUCUUCAAAGCUUAUUUGAAGCUGAGUUGUGGGUUUGGGGUUUUGUUCGUUUGUUCCUUUGUUUGUUUUGGUUGGGGUGGGGGGCGGGGAGAGAAGGGAUUUUGUAUUCUGAUAAUCCAGACGGAGAUAUCUUGUGGUUUAAAGCAAAUGUCCCACUGAAAGCAAUUCAAAUAUCAAGAAAAUUAUUUCAGGUUAAAACACA
ensembl:lncRNA